GUGCAGCAGUCGAGAAACCUUCGCAAUGCAGGAAACUGCGACGAGGGAACUCCAAGUGCCUACGCUCAGCGUAGGCUGUUCUCAAGCCUAGAAAGCUUGAGGAGUAAGGGCUGGGUAAGACGGGUGCCAUCUGUGGUAGCAGUCAAUAGAUUCGAUUUGUUACUGCAAGGCAUAAGCCGCCGCGGUAAUACCCGCAGCCCAAGUGGUGGCCGCUUUUAUUGGGCCUAAAGCGUCCGUAGCCGGCCCGGUAAAUGCCUGGGUAAAUCGUGGAGCCCAACUUCACGAAUUCCGGGUAGACUGCCGAGCUCGGGACCGGAAGAGGGAGAGGGUACUUCGAGGGGUAGGGUAGAAAUUUCCUUCCAUUAACGUCUUUGCGCGAAG
rnacentral:rRNA from 1 species